GGGAGGCAUUUUCCAGUGCUGUCUCAUUAAGCAGAUGACCUGCAGACAUUGUCAGCACAACCCAGCCAAGGUGAUUGAUCACCAGAGAAUAGAGGACUUGGUAUAGCAAGUAUCACAUCACCUGGAAUAUUAAAGAAUAUGGAAUUUCCUGUUACAUUCCAGCCCUACCUAGCCCAGUUUUUUUGUGAGAUAUUUAGCAGAAAUCCUGGCCAGCAAGAGGACAUACUUGAUUUUUCUUUUUCCAUCAAUACAGACAUAAUGAUAAUCACCAGGAGUCAGCUGUCAGAAUGCAAUCUUAUUUCAAUGAAGCAGAAGUCUUCUGCCUUGCCAACAAACGCCCUGCAUUUGUAUCCCAGAGCUCAUCCCAGACAGACUUUUAAGUUUGUGUAG
rnacentral:lncRNA from 1 species